rnacentral:rRNA from 1 species
GAUGAACGCUGGCGGCGUGCUUAACACAUGCAAGUCGAACGGAAAGGCCCAAGCUUGCUUGGGUACUCGAGUGGCGAACGGGUGAGUAACACGUGGGUGAUCUGCCCUGCACUUCGGGAUAAGCCUGGGAAACUGGGUCUAAUACCGGAUAGGACCACAUUUUGGAUGGUGUGGUGGAAAGUUUUUCGGUGUGGGAUGAGCUCGCGGCCUAUCAGCUUGUUGGUGGGGUAAUGGCCUACCAAGGCGUCGACGGGUAGCCGGCCUGAGAGGGUGUACGGCCACAAUGGGACUGAGAUACGGCCCAGACUCCUACGGGAGGCAGCAGUGGGGAAUAUUGCACAAUGGGCGCAAGCCUGAUGCAGCGACGCCGCGUGGGGGAUGACGGCCUUCGGGUUGUAAACUCCUUUCGCUAGGGACGAAGCGUUAUGUGACGGUACCUGGAGAAGAAGCACCGGCUAACUACGUG